CGAAUUUGGAAUGGUCCUAUGCUCAUCGUCUACCUGUGACUCCGUCUUCCCAGGGAACCCAGCUCAGUGUUGUGAGGAUGAAUGGGGUGAUGACUCAUGUGGACUGGGGACGAUGGCCGUGUCAGCCAGGAAGACCAUGCUCGGGUGCCCCUCAGGUCCUUCCACAAUGUCCACAUCCUGAUUAACCCCCACCGGGAGCUGCAGGUGGCCACGCCCUGCGAGCUUCCUGCAGUUUCAGCCAUUACUCAGCAAUGCACAGCGGCUCAAGGUCACCUCGGCACCAUCUGUCCACCUCCCUCCCUCCCACCCCAGGGACAGGGGAGAGAUUACCCUCCACCCCCUCUCCCUCCCUCACACGCUGCCCUCCCUGAAGCAGGCUUCCUGACUCCAUCUAAAUCACCUGUCUCCCGGGGCCUUGCCAACAUGCCUCUCCUCUGCUGCCCACUCCUGCCCACAGAUGUGAUGGACAACGCCAGGCCUGAGGCUUGGUGCAUCCCGCAAAUCAGAGGAGAACUGGCUUCCUCCCCAUUAUAGGAGCCCUCGCCGUCCACCAGGCCUUGGUGGAGCUCGCUGGCCACUGCAUGUGACGCUGGACGUGCAUGCCCCUGUGGGAGAACUGGGCCAAGACGCCACGGGGCAGACCCGGGACCCGCCUGGUCCUGCCAAGAGUGAGACCAGGAGCUGGGUGCCGGCCAGGGCCCAGGCCCUCGUGGCCUCCAUGACAGACCGUCUGCCUGGAACCAACAGAUGGACACGGUCCACACUGAACCAAGGUGCUCUCUGUGCAGGACAUCUGUGAGUCACCAGACCAGCCCUUAUCACCGGGUGGGUCAUCAUCGCCAAAGAAGAAGAGGGUGCAUUUCCCCAGACACUGCUGACCGCUGGCCACCUCAGACGGGUCCGUUGCAGAGCAGCCCACACCGUUUCUGCACCAGGCUCCCCUCUGCCCCAGGGGACUACUUGUUCCUUUUCCUGGCGUCCUCGUGGGUGUGGACAGUUCAGAUCCCCACCUCCCCUGUCCCCGGGCUCCACUCCUCCCAGCGCCCUCAGCCCUCCCCUGCAGAGCCGCUGCCCUCCUACUGCCCGGGCUGGGCCACAGGAACCACCUGCCCCCCACCACCUUCCCAGGCCAGGCUCCACUCCUUCCCCCAGUGCACCCCGCCAGGCCCCCUCGAGGCUCCCGACACCCUCCGUCCCCAGCCAAGAGCUCUAACCGCCCCCUGACACAGGUGGGAGAGGAGCCCGCCGCUCUCCUCCCCACAGAGGUGUGUGCCCGGAGCCUGCCGCAUGAGCCGGCUGCCUUAGGCUUAGAUUCAGGGUCCGCCCUUAACUUCUCAGCUGGCUCUCGAGGUGGCAAGUCUAGGGGCACCUGAGGGGGUCUCCAGAGCCAGGAGCCGAGUAAAUUUCUAUUCUUCACAAAUUAUGCUGCCUCCAUAUUUUGCGAUAGCAACAGAAACCUCACUGAGAUCCCCCCUCACAGCUCCUCUGCUGAGUGGCCAGGGACCUCCUCACCUCCUGCCAUUGUCCCGAAGCCCAACUUGCCUGGUCCUCUUGACACCAUGUCUGCUAAGAUUAGUGCUGUGGGGGCUGGGUCAAGGCCACCACGCCAGGGUCACCUUCCUCAGUGGGGUACGGAGGGUAGGUAGUAGAACUGUGUCCCUAGGAGACUGCUCAAGUCCUAGCUCCAGAGCCUGUGACCGUGACCUUAUUUGGAAACAGGGUCUUUGCAGGUGCCAUCACGAGGGACCCUCAUGAAAUGAGGGGCCUGGGACACACGCACACACACAGGAACAUCCCACGGAGACACAGAAGGAGAGACACGGAGGGGAGCGGCCACCUGAGCACAGAGCAGAGCCCGGACAGACGCAUCUGCACGCCCAGGAACGCCAAGGACAGCCACCGCCACCACCGGGAGAGGGGCCUGGGCUCCCGGCUGUGUUUUAGGUCACCAGCUACAGCAGCCACAGGACCCUGAGACCAGCUCUGAAUCCAGUGUGCCUGCCCAGGUGCCACACCCGCGCCCCUGCCCCACCCAAGGCCCUCAGGCAUCCUCAGGGGGGCAGCCAGCAGAGCCCCCGCGUCCCCAGGCCGCUCUGGCGCCACAUCUGGAGACUCCUCACCCUUAAUCGUUCCUAAUGCUCUAACACACGAUGACUAAUGGGCUCUAAUUGGCAGCCUCGCGGGGAGCGGUGGCCUGGGGAGCUCUGCCGUGCCCUCCGCGACCUGCACAGCCUCCUUGCCGCGCACUCCCGGAGCUCCAGAGUCACCGGGAAAAAAUCGCUGGUCCAUUUUUCUAUUUCUUAAAAAAUGCCGCAGCAGUGCCAACGAGCCACUGUGCCCUUCAACCACCAGAGACAGGGCGAAGGAAAGGGUGGAGGAGAAGCAACCAGAUGGGACAAAAUCUCACAAAUGCCACUGAGGCCUGUGACAGCUGCCGGAGACACGCAGGAGGCCUCUUGGAGCAAGCCCAGCGCGAGUCCAUCAGGGAGCGUGGAGAGAGUCUGGCAGAGUCCAGCCCAGAUUUCCCCUUGAAGGGAAGCGACCAGGCACCUCUGAUACCUGCUCGUCUCCCCCCGACCCGAGGGUGCCGCGCACCGUCCUUCCCAGACUGCAGAGAAGGAGCCAGAAGGUGGAUGGGGCCACGCAGAGUCAGGCUGACAGAUGCGGGGACCCAGCAGAGAGUUCAGAAAAGCUGGAGGCACCCAGAAUCCUCAACUGCUGGGGGUCAGAGAGACAGAGGAGGAGACGGGCAGCCCGGGUCCAGGCCCUGUCUCCUGUCAGCAGGGCCCACUGCAGAGACAGUCCUGGCAGAGUUCAGAGGAAGGGGUUAGAGAGGUGAGCCGGGUUCAUUCUCCAGGAGAGGAGGAAGCCCUGGGGUCUUCAGACGGAUCCCUGUUUCCAAAGGUUGGCUCAAGCUAAGGGCUCGUGUUGAGCUGUCGGAUGCCACCAGGACCUGCCCCACACCUGGGGAUGGCAACCACAAGUGUCACAGAGACACCUCAGUGGCUCCCGGUGCCUCUAGGUAAAGCCCCGCUGUCUCUCCCCACCCUGGGAGACCACCCCUCAGACAGUGCCGGGCACACCAGCCGCUGAUGUGGGCAGUGGAGGCUCAGCUCAGCCGGGUGCCAGGGGCCCUGUGAUGGAUGCUGGUUUAACAGCUUUUAAAAACAAGCAGACAAGAGACGGGCGUGAUGGAUGAGUGCGGGAAGCAGCCUCAUUUGGGGAUGAUUUAUGAGAGUCGCGUGUUGCCACUCAUGGGUGCAGCCCCGAGGAUGGGUCUGGGGAGACGGAUGGGCUCCAGCACAGAGCCCCUGAGGGGCGUAGACCGCUCGCUGUGUCCCCACAGCGUGCUGCUCGUGCCUGGCCAGCUUGUGCCACCUGGCCAUCAGGUGGCCACGGCUUCCCAAGAACCAAGGUGCUCCCGCCCCGAGAAACGUCUGGAGAAGGGACAGCCAGCCAUGCCUUCAGCUCCUGAGUGACCCCAAGACACACUGGGUUGGGAGAAUUCUGUCCCCUGGAGUGGCAAGGGGGACGCCCAGGAGGGAAGAGCAUGCGAUGCCCACCAGCUCUAGUCCCCAACGCUGUGGCCAGGUCGUCUCCUCCCACAUCUGAGGGACCAUCGGCCCCAGGCCUCAGCCACUGCACGUAGCAGACAAAUCUCGUUUUGCCGAGAUUAAUUUCCAUCCAGGUUUUUAAUAAAGACUCGUAAUUUACUGUA